UAAUGAUAGUGAGGGAAAUUUCUGAGUAAACCGUUAAAUCUUUCCCAAGCUUGGUUGAGAUUCUCUCUUUUUUUCAGUCUAAAACUCAAAAUAUUGCUACUCAAACG
rfam:Capsicum annuum cultivar Zunla-1 chromosome 8, whole genome shotgun sequence